UACGGGGGGCGCAAGCGUUGUUCGGAUUUACUGGGCGUAAAGGGCGCGUAGGCGGCGUGACAAGUCACUUGUGAAAUCUCUGAGCUUAACUCAGAACGGCCAAGUGAAACUGUUGUGCUAGAGUGCAGAAGGGGCAAUCGGAAUUCUUGGUGUAGCGGUGAAAUGCGUAGAUAUCAAGAGGAACACCUGAGGUGAAGACGGGUUGCUGGGCUGACACUGACGCUGAGGCGCGAAAGCCAGGGGAGCAAACGGG
rnacentral:rRNA from 1 species